UGGUCUACCUCAAGAGAAGAUGGAUAUUCACUCAUUGCAGCUUUUCAAGAAAUGGUUGGAUGAAGAUUUAUUGGGAAUGUUGAAGAGAAGAUUCCUCUUCAGGGUGAUGGACAGUUUAUCAUGGAAGAAUAUAAAAGGAAAAUGGACAACAUUAAAUGGGGUCCUUUCUGGGACCUCCUUCCUUCAGGAUUACCUAAUGGCUUGAUUGAGUUUGGCUAAUUUUGAUCACAAUAAAACAAACUACAAGUAUCUCACUGUCAUCCCAGUGCUCUACCCAGGUCAUCUCUAGAGAGCUGUGUUAAAUCCCUGGCACUGCAUAUUGGGAAAAAGAGGAAGAAUCUGGCCCUGCUCCAUCUCAUUGUGAGGGAGAAAAAGAGAAGAUAAACAAAUGUCUUGUAACUCACACACACAGACAAGCAAAACAAAUUUCCUCAAUAGAUGUAUGGCUAAGGAUACGAAGAGAUAGUUCUCAAAAAAAGAAGUUAGAAUUAUCUACAACCAUAAUUUUAAUAAAAAUUAAAUUAAUAAUAGAAAUGA